rnacentral:rRNA from 1 species
CAGGUCUUGACAUCCUCUGACAAUCCUAGAGAUAGGACGUUCCCCUUCGGGGGACAGAGUGACAGGUGGUGCAUGGUUGUCGUCAGCUCGUGUCGUGAGAUGUUGGGUUAAGUCCCGCAACGAGCGCAACCCUUGAUCUUAGUUGCCAGCAUUCAGUUGGGCACUCUAAGGUGACUGCCGGUGACAAACCGGAGGAAGGUGGGGAUGACGUCAAAUCAUCAUGCCCCUUAUGACCUGGGCUACACACGUGCUACAAUGGAUGGUACAAAGGGCUGCGAGACCGCGAGGUUAAGCGAAUCCCAUAAAACCAUUCUCAGUUCGGAUUGUAGGCUGCAACUCGCCUACAUGAAGCUGGAAUCGCUAGUAAUCGCGGAUCAGCAUGCCGCGGUGAAUACGUUCCCGGGCCUUGUACACACCGCCCGUCACACCACGAGAGUUUGUAACACCCGAAGUCGGUGGGGUAACCUUUUGGAGCCAGCCGCCUAAGGUGGGACAGAUGAUUGGGGUG